CUUGAUUCACCUUCUGUUUUGAGUAAACUUGCGACACCUACUCCUGUUAUUGAUUCUGAUAUGUCGCAUGUUAUUGAUGAUGCCACUUCUGCUUUGCAUGAUACUUAUGAUGAAACUACUUCUAUGCUUGAUAAUACUGUGCCAUUAGGUGAAUUUCUUGAUGAACAACUUGCUAGGGUUAGAGAAAAUGAAAUUAUUGAAACUGAUAAUAUUGAUGAAAAUGAUGUUGAAGAUUCUCCCCCUAGAUAUGAAUUGCCUGAUGUGCCUGAGGUUUAUGUUAUGGAUGAAGAAACAGCUACAGACCUUUUUGCUUACAAACACAGAUAUGAUCUUAAGAAACUGUUAGCUAAGCUGAAAGAAAAG
rnacentral:rRNA from 1 species